UACGUAGGGGCCGAGCGUUGUCCGGAGUUACUGGGCGUAAAGCGCGCGCAGGUGGCCCAUUACGCCCGGCGUGAAAGCCCCCGGCUCAACCGGGGAGGGUCGUCGGGUACGGGUGGGCUUGAGGGCAUCAGGGGCUGGUGGAAUUCCCGGUGUAGUGGUGAAAUGCGUAGAGAUUGGGAAGAACACCGGUGGCGAAAGCGCUCUACUGGGCCUGCACUGACACUGAGGGACGAAAGCUAGGGGAGCGAAAGGG
rnacentral:rRNA from 1 species